rnacentral:piRNA from 1 species
UAGUUUCACUGUAUAACUUGAAAGAACGC